GCCUCUGUAGCUCAGUUGGUUAGAGCGCUGCACCGUAGUUGCAAGGUCACAUGUUCGAUUACUGCCAGAGGAC
rnacentral:tRNA from 1 species